CACCUGGUUGAUCCUGCCAGUAGUCAUAUGCUUGUCUCAAAGAUUAAGCCAUGCAUGUCUAAGUAUAAGCUUUAAACGGCGAAACUGCGAAUGGCUCAUUAAAACAGUUAUAGUUUAUUUGGUGAUCGAUUACUAUUUGGAUAACCGUAGUAAUUCUAGAGCUAAUACAUGCGUCAAGGCCCGACUUCGGAAGGGCUGCGUUUAUUAGAUAGAUUUAUGGAUAGAACCUAGUGCGAAUAAAUCUAUCCCUCGGAUUUUCAAGGGCCAGCGAGAACACUCCAGACACCCUGUUAGACAAGGUGCUAUUCCAGUUCGAAAACCCUAUCUCCAGAUGAUCUGAUUCCAGGGUAAGUCGAACUGUUAAAAAGAAAAGACAACGCUUCCUGGGGUCCCCUAUGGCGUGUCCGAGUUCACUUGUGUUGCCACAUAUUAUCCACGUCUCGGCGCUGGAAUACUAACCAGCUUCCCUUUCGAGAAACAGAGCCAAAGCUCCAAUCCGAUGGAAUUUAACCUGUCUCUCAGGAUCGGCUAACCCAUGUCCAAGUGCUGUUCACAUGGUGUUCACAGUUUGCCACUCACACACUCGCACAUACGUUAGACUCCUUGGUCCGUGUUUCAAGACGGGCCGGAGGCAACCGUUGGAAGCCAGCAUCGCGAUUACUAAGUGCGAACAAUCUCAAAGCCACAUCCUGGCCACUCGACGAAUCGAAAAGCGCAGGGUAAUGACAGUAGAAAGCUCGUUGACAGCAAACGCACUUCCUCACUGACCGAGUAGUGAGUAUCGCAAGGAAGCACCAAUUCACAGAUAGCGACCAUAGCAUC
rnacentral:ncRNA from 1 species